ACACGUGGGUAACCUGCCUGUAAGACUGGGAUAACUCCGGGAAACCGGGGCUAAUACCGGAUGGUUGUCUGAACCGCAUGGUUCAGACAUAAAAGGUGGCUUCGGCUACCACUUACAGAUGGACCCGCGGCGCAUUAGCUAGUUGGUGAGGUAACGGCUCACCAAGGCGACGAUGCGUAGCCGACCUGAGAGGGUGAUCGGCCACACUGGGACUGAGACACGGCCCAGACUCCUACGGGAGGCAGCAGUAGGGAAUCUUCCGCAAUGGACGAAAGUCUGACGGAGCAACGCCGCGUGAGUGAUGAAGGUUUUCGGAUCGUAAAGCUCUGUUGUUAGGGAAGAACAAGUGCCGUUCAAAUAGGGCGGCACCUUGACGGUACCUAACCAGAAAGCCACGGCUAACUACGUGCCAGCAGCCGCGGUAAUACGUAGGUGGCAAGCGUUGUCCGGAAUUAUUGGGCGUAAAGGGCUCGCAGGCGGUUUCUUAAGUCUGAUGUGAAAGCCCCCGGCUCAACCGGGGAGGGUCAUUGGAAACUGGGGAACUUGAGUGCAGAAGAGGAGAGUGGAAUUCCACGUGUAGCGGUGAAAUGCGUAGAGAUGUGGNAGNGAACACCAGUGGNCGAAGNCGACUCUCUGGNUCUGUAACUGACGCUGAGGAGCGAAAGCGUGGGGAGCGAACAGGAUUAAAUNACCCUNGGUNAGUCCNACGCCGNUAAACNGAUGAGUGCUAAGUNGUUAGGGGGUUUNCCGCCCCNUUAGUGCUGCAGCUAACGCANUUAAGCACUCCGCNCUNGGGGANGUACGGUCGCAAGACUGAAACUNCAAAGGAAUUNGANCGGGGGCCCNGCACANAGCGGUGNGAGCAUGUGGUUCAAUUCCA
rnacentral:rRNA from 1 species